rnacentral:rRNA from 1 species
CCUACGGGCGGCUGCAGUGGGGAAUAUUGGACAAUGGGCGAAAGCCUGAUCCAGCCAUGCCGCGUGUGUGAAGAAGGCCUUCGGGUUGUAAAGCACUUUCAGUGGGGAAGAAAGCCUUGGGGCUAAUACCCUCGAGGAAGGACAUCACCCACAGAAGAAGCACCGGCUAACUCCGUGCCAGCAGCCGCGGUAAUACGGAGGGUGCGAGCGUUAAUCGGAAUUACUGGGCGUAAAGCGCGCGUAGGCGGUCUGAUAAGCCGGUUGUGAAAGCCCCGGGCUCAACCUGGGAACGGCAUCCGGAACUGUCAGGCUAGAGUGCAGGAGAGGAAGGUAGAAUUCCCGGUGUAGCGGUGAAAUGCGUAGAGAUCGGGAGGAAUACCAGUGGCGAAGGCGGCCUUCUGGACUGACACUGACGCUGAGGUGCGAAAGCGUGGGUAGCAAACAGGAUUAGAUACCCUGGUAGUC